rnacentral:sRNA from 1 species
GGUCCUUUAAGGUCUUGAACAUCGGUUUCCUGACUUGAGCGGGGCCCAUGCCCCUGCCAAGGAGGCUCAGCCUGGAAGCAGCUAGCCGAUUUCCCAUCUGCCCCACCAAGACCCAGCAAGGAUCUCUACUUGACUUUCCUCCUUCAGGCAACCACCUAGAAAAUCGUUGUUUGUUCAUGUCACAAGUGAAAGUAUCUUUCUCAUGCGUUCAUCGUUGGCACGUCCUCCUUUGGCAAUAUUAAAACCUACCAACAAAUGAGAAAGUUUAACAUUUGCACCAUCUUGUCAUAUUCAAAAACUUUGUGCUUAGUGUUUUGAAACUCUUUAAGCUCUGUUAGCUUGGCCUGUGUCCCUGGAGGUGCAGCUUCAAGCUUAGGACCACCCACCAUGCCCAUCCAGGUGCUGAAGGGUCUGACCAUCACUCGGUAAGAACAGAGGAGACUGCCUGUUACUCGUGAUGGUGAGAAGGCGGAUGUAGACAGCAUCCCUCCAGACUCUCUGCUGUUUCCUGCCUAGGCGUGGCUGCAGCCAUGGGUAGGAAAGUGCUGGCACCCACCCACCUGGGCCGGAGCUGGUUCUGCUCCUGCUACAGGGACACUGAGCUGGCUAUCUCGGCACUUCGGGCAAGAACUGCAACAGGCUCUCCUGGGUCCUGCAGGUGUACAGCCGGGCCCCUGCCUUGUGCCUCAGCUCUGGAGAGCUGCUGCUGCUGGGUGACCUGAUCCAACCUGACAAGG